AGUGAACGCUGGCGGCGUGCUUAACACAUGCAAGUCGAACGAGAACGGGUUAUAGCUUGCUAUAAUUGUCAGCUAAGUGGCGCACGGGUGAGUAAUGUAUAGGUAAUAUGCCUCUUACUAAGGGAUAACAAAUGGAAACGUUUGCUAAUACCUUAUACUCCUUAUUAACAUAAGUUAAUAAGGGAAAGAUUUAUUGGUAAGAGAUUAGCCUGUAUUGUAUCAGUUAGUUGGUGGGGUAAUGGCUUACCAAGACUAUGACACAUAACUGGUUUGGGAGGAUGAUCAGUCACACUGGAACUUGGACACGGUACAUACUCCGACGGGAGGCAGCAGUGGGGAAUGUUGCACAAUGGACGAAAGUCUGAUGCAGCAACGACGCGUGGAGGAUGACACAUUUCGGUGCGUAAACUCCUUUUAUAUGAGAAGAUCAUGACGGUAUUAUAUGAAUAAGCACCGGCUAACUCCGUGCCAGCCGCCGCCGUAA
rnacentral:rRNA from 1 species